rnacentral:tRNA from 1 species
GCCUGGGUGGUUCAGUCGGUUGAGCAUCCGACUUCAGCUCAGGGCAUGAUCUCACGGUUGGUGGGUUCGAGCCCCGCAUCAGGCU